UACGUAGGGGGCAAGCGUUGUCCGGAAUCAUUGGGCGUAAAGAGCGCGUAGGCGGUCCGAUAAGUCGGUUGUGAAAACUGGGGGCUCAACCCUCAGAGGCCGACCGAUACUGUCGGGCUAGAGUCCGGAAGAGGCGAGUGGAAUUCCUGGUGUAGCGGUGAAAUGCGCAGAUAUCAGGAGGAACACCAAUGGCGAAGGCAGCUCGCUGGGACGUGACUGACGCUGAGACGCGAAAGCGUGGGGAGCAAACAGG
rnacentral:rRNA from 1 species